rnacentral:rRNA from 1 species
UACGGAGGGGGCUAGCGUUGUUCGGAAUUACUGGGCGUAAAGCGCACGUAGGCGGCUUUGUAAGUUAGAGGUGAAAGCCCGGGGCUCAACCCCGGAAUUGCCUUUAAGACUGCAUCGCUUGAAUCCGGGAGAGGUGAGUGGAAUUCCGAGUGUAGAGGUGAAAUUCGUAGAUAUUCGGAAGAACAUCGGUGGCGAAAGCGCUCUGCUGGACUGCAACUGACACUCAGGGACGAAAGCUAGGGGAGCGAAUGGG